AGUUAAUUAGCUUAGGGAAAGCAUAUGUUUUGAAAACAUAAAAUUAGAAGUUUAACUUUUCUAUUAACUU
rnacentral:tRNA from 1 species